GGGUUGUUAGCUCAAUGGUAGAGCAGCUGACUUUUAAUCAGCGGGUUCUGGGUUCGAGUCCCAGGCGACCCACCA
rnacentral:tRNA from 1 species